UAGGGAAUAUUGCACAAUGGAGGAAACUCUGAUGCAGCGACGCCGCGUGAGUGAUGAAGGCCUUCGGGUUGUAAAACUCUGUGAUAAGGGAAGAUGAUGACGGUACCUUAUCAGAAAAGACCGGCUAACUUCGUGCCAGCAGCCGCGGUAAUACGAGGGGUCUAAGCGUUGUUCGGAAUCACUGGGCGUAAAGCGGGUGUAGGUGGCUCAGCAAGUUAGAUGUGAAAGCCCCGGGCUCAACCCGGGAAGUGCAUCUAAAACUACUGAGCUUGAGUACGGGAGAGGGAAGCAGAAUUCCUGGUGUAGUGGUGAAAUACGUAGAUAUCAGGAGGAACACCGGUGGCGAAGGCGGUUUCCUGGCCCAGUACUGACACUCAGACCCGAAAGCGUGGGUAGCAAA
rnacentral:rRNA from 1 species